AUAACAUAGCCUAAAAUUUAUACUUGGCAAAUCCAUCUGAUAAUGUGGCCUGAAACAGCUGUAUAUUUUCCCAAAAUGUCUCUUGCUGCAAGCCCCGGCUGUGCGUUUCGUCUCAUGUAGAAAUACUCCACAACAGUAAAAGUUAUCAUUGUGGUGAAGUCUGAGCUUCUUCAUUGCAGUCCAAUGCGCUGUGCUGUGCAAUUUGUUGCAGCCAGCUGGCGAAAGGGGUUCUUCUUGCAGGCUUGCUACCUGUAGCGUUUGUAGCUUUGUCAGAUUCAGAAACACUUCCGAACAAUUUAAAAGUAGGAUUAGCAGCCUCUUGAGGUCUGAGUUGCAGUCCAAUGUGUACAUGAAUUUUGUGCAGCCAGCUAGUAAACAGUGUGGUGAGCUGUUGCAUGCAGACUGCGGUGUUGGUGUCGUUCGUUCAUUUAACUUUGGACCGUUCAGUCGUUCGUUUAUCGUAAGAAAUCUGUCACUUGUCGUAGGUGUGUAAAAUUGUGUCCACCAGGUGUCAAAGUAGGUUAGCAUUUAGUUCUUGAUGUCGAAGAAAAGUGACAUCUUAGUUUGUGCUUCUAAAUAAGUGCUUUUGUGGAAAAUCACCGUGGUCAGUUUUAUUGUUGAGCUGUUUAUGGUGUUGCUGUUUGGGGUACAGUGGUUUUGCAGUCAUUUUCCAGUUGAGAGAUGCGCUGAAAUGGAGCUUGUGCAGACUUGCAGUUGAACACCAUACUUUAAUGUGUCAUUUUCCUAUGUUGGUGUCCAUGCAGUGGUGAUCUGUUGUGGAAAAUAGUCGAUGUUGCCUGAUGGCUGUUGGGCUUAUUUUAUCGGCAGCAUUUUGUCGAUCUGUCGUCGCUUGCCACCUGUACCGCCAUUGAGUUGAUUCGUUUGCCGCCGAACUGUUGAAACUAAGAAGACGUUGCUGAAAUUCAAGAUUGAUCAAUUAAUAAUGUUUAUAAAUUAAAAGUGCAUAUCUGGGCUCCCUUCUUCAGUGGCCCCGUUUCCCUAAAUAACCACU
rnacentral:lncRNA from 1 species